rnacentral:rRNA from 1 species
GCGCCCCACCUCACCAGCGACAUCUGGUACUCCGGCAACGCAGCCGCGGACAGACUGGAGCAUAGCGGCGCAAGGAGGGAGGGGAGGCGACACUCAACAGAGGCGACGAUGACAAGGCAGGAGGGGCGGCGGCGGUGAACGAGUUCAUCCCCUUCCGAUCUGAUUUCAACGGGUGAAUCGGCAGGAUGCACCGGUCAAAUUAGCACAAAGGGUAUUUUGGUCCACUGUUUUAUGUAUAUAUUAUGCCAACUUUUUGUAAGUAUUGUUUUUGGGUGAAAAAGUGGCAAAAGAUCAAAGUCCAAACUAAAAAGAGGAAAUAGAUCAAUUACAAUAUAAAGAGUGACAAAUUAUCAAAGUACAAAGUAAGUGGUGGCAAAAAAUCAAAACCCCUAAAAAAGAAGACUCCGAUCUUUGCCUACCUAGUUCCGUCCCAUAUCCCUCAUCCCACGCCGACGAGCCUCCACCGCCGCCGCCACGUGCGAGCACGCACCGGAGGAUCGGCGGGAGCUGCCCGCAGAACCCAGAGGGGACCCGCUUGAUUUGACGCAGGCGCGGGCGCGCAGCCAGAUGGCGGCGCCCUCGGGGAAGGCCGCAAUGGAGCGGCACCAGUCGAUCGACGCGCAGCUGCGGCUCCUCGUCCCCGGCAAGGUCUCCGAGGACGACAAACUCGUCGAGUACGACGCCCUCCUCGUCGACCGCUUCCUCGACAUCCUCCAGGACUUGCACGGCCCCCACCUCCGCGAAUUCGUGCAGGAGUGCUACGAGCUCUCGGCGGAGUACGAAACCGAUCGGGACGAGGCCCGGAUAGGCGAGCUCGGGGGCAAGCUCACCAGUCUGUCCCCCGCUGACUCCAUCGUCGUCUCCAGCUCGUUCUCGCACAUGCUCAACCUCGCAAACCUGGCCGAGGAGGUGCAGAUCGCGUUCCGCCGCCGGAGCAAGCUCAAGCGGGGGGACCUCGGUGACGAGGCAUCAGCGCCCACCGAGUCUGACAUCGAGGAGACACUCAAGCGGCUGGUCUCCGAGCUCGGAAAGUCCCGUGAGGAGGUGUUCGAUUCACUCAAGAACCAGACUGUCGAUCUUGUGUUCACAGCGCACCCCACGCAAUCCGUCAGGAGGUCCCUGCUCCAGAAGCACGGGAGGAUCCGAAAUUGCCUGCGGCAGUUGUAUGCAAAGGAUAUCACUGCCGAUGACAAGCAGGAGCUCGAUGAGGCUCUGCAGAGGGAGAUUCAAGCUGCCUUCCGAACCGAUGAAAUCCGCAGGACACCUCCCACUCCUCAGGAUGAAAUGCGUGCCGGAAUGAGUUAUUUCCAUGAAACUAUAUGGAAGGGUGUACCAAAAUUCUUGCGCCGGAUUGACACUGCUUUGAAAAAUAUUGGGAUUAAUGAGCGUCUUCCUUACAACGCUCCUCUCAUUCAGUUCUCCUCCUGGAUGGGUGGUGACCGUGAUGGAAAUCCAAGGGUUACACCGGAGGUCACACGUGAUGUUUGCUUGUUAGCAAGGAUGAUGGCUGCUAACUUGUACUUCUCUCAGAUAGAAGAUCUGAUGUUUGAGCUUUCUAUGUGGCGCUGCAGUGAUGAACUUCGGGUCCGUGCAGAUGAACUACAUCGUUCCUCAAAAAAAUCUGCAAAGCACUAUAUAGAGUUCUGGAAGCAAGUUCCUUCAAAUGAACCUUAUCGUGUCAUACUCGGUGAUGUCAGGGAUAAAUUGUAUUAUACGCGCGAACGUUCUCGCCAUAUAUUGACAACUGGAGUUUCUGACAUUCCUGAGGAGUCUACUUUUACUAAUGUCGAGAUGUUUCUCGAGCCUCUUGAGCUAUGCUACAGAUCUUUGUGUGCUUGUGGUGACAAACCUAUAGCUGAUGGAAGCCUUCUUGAUUUCUUGCGUCAAGUAUCAACUUUUGGGCUUGCUCUUGUGAAACUUGAUAUCAGGCAGGAAUCUGAUCGACACACUGAUGUCCUUGAUACUAUAACAACACAUCUUGGGAUCGGAUCCUACGCUGAAUGGUCUGAGGAGAAACGCCAGGAGUGGCUGUUGUCCGAACUAAGGGGCAAACGCCCAUUGUUCGGUUCAGAUCUUCCUCAGACUGAAGAAGUUGCUGAUGUUUUAGGCACAUUUCAUAUCCUUGCUGAGCUUCCAGCAGAUUGUUUUGGUGCUUAUAUCAUCUCAAUGGCAACUGCCCCAUCCGAUGUGCUUGCUGUUGAGCUUUUACAGCGUGAGUGCCAUAUAAAAAAGCCAUUGAGAGUUGUUCCACUAUUUGAGAAGCUUGCAGAUCUUGAAGCCGCUCCAGCAGCGGUUGCACGCCUAUUUUCAGUAGACUGGUAUAUGGAUAGGAUCAAUGGCAAACAGGAGGUCAUGAUUGGAUACUCAGACUCUGGCAAGGACGCUGGGCGUCUCUCUGCAGCGUGGCAAAUGUAUAAAGCACAGGAAGAGCUCAUAAAGGUUGCAAAGCAUUACGGAGUAAAGUUGACAAUGUUUCAUGGAAGAGGUGGAACGGUUGGCAGAGGAGGGGGUCCCAGUCAUCUUGCCAUAUUAUCUCAACCACCAGACACAAUACAUGGAUCACUCCGUGUAACGGUUCAAGGCGAGGUCAUAGAGCACUCGUUUGGAGAGGAACACUUGUGCUUUAGAACUCUGCAGCGCUUCACUGCAGCUACUCUCGAGCAUGGAAUGCAUCCCCCAAUUUCACCCAAGCCAGAAUGGCGUGCUCUAAUGGAUGAGAUGGCUGUUGUGGCAACAAAAGAGUAUCGAUCAAUAGUCUUCCAAGAACCACGCUUUGUUGAAUACUUCCGCUCGGCAACACCUGAGACUGAAUAUGGUCGGAUGAAUAUUGGCAGCCGGCCAUCGAAGAGAAAGCCUAGUGGGGGCAUAGAAUCACUCCGUGCAAUUCCAUGGAUCUUUGCUUGGACACAGACAAGGUUUCAUCUUCCUGUAUGGCUUGGGUUUGGUGCAGCAUUUAAACAUAUCAUUCAGAAGGACAUCAGGAACAUCCAUACUCUGAAAGAAAUGUACAAUGAGUGGCCAUUCUUCAGGGUCACCCUUGACUUACUUGAGAUGGUUUUUGCCAAGGGAGAUCCAGGAAUUGCUGCUUUAUAUGACAAAUUGCUUGUGGCUGAAGAUCUGCAGUCCUUUGGGGAACAGUUGAGACAAAACUUUGAAGAGACAAAACAGUUACUCCUUCAGGUUGCUGGUCACAAGGACGUUCUUGAAGGGGAUCCUUACCUAAAGCAGCGUCUGCGGUUGCGUGAGUCCUACAUCACAACCUUGAAUGUUUGCCAAGCCUACACCCUGAAGCGGAUAAGAGACCCCAGCUUUGAGGUGACGCCACAACAGCCUCCCCUGUCCAAGGAGUUCUGCGACAAGGAGCCCGCCGAGCUGGUGCAACUGAACCGUGGGAGCGAGUAUGCCCCAGGCCUGGAGGACACCCUCAUCCUGACUAUGAAGGGCAUUGCUGCUGGCAUGCAGAACACAGGCUAGGCCAGUAUGCCGCUUGUUGUAUAAAUAACGUCUUUCUUUUUGAAACGAGGCAAAAGACUUGCCAUUUUCAUUAAUUAAGGAGAAGGUCUAGACAUAAGCUGUAGAGCGGCAAAAAGAAAAAGAGUACUCGUCAGUGCCCAAAGAUGGGCUUCCUCUUUGAUCUUGGCAACAACAAUGGAAGUCGGGGUAGCCGUGUUGCGAAAAACUCUAGCGUUUCGCUCCUUUCAAAUUUCCCACGAGGCAAGCAUCAUCAAGGCAAGCAUCAUCACGGAGACAAUCGCCUUCUUGAUGUAGCUGCCUGAGUCGAUCAUUUUUAGCCACCAAUCAUAUGGUGAAUAUGUUUAGCUAGGUCGCCAAUGCUAGUGAACUCUGGAGGAAUUGGGCACUUCCGUGCCUUUGCUUAUGUACCCGAUCCAAAUGUCAAGGGGAAUGUAUGCCCGUGCCGAAUUAAAUAUGUAGUGAUAAUAUGCUUUUGUCUAAUAACAGGCUUGUCUCCAAGUCCGAAGUUUCAGGUAGAAACCGCCAUUUUGAAGUUUCAAUUUUUUAAAAGAAAUUCUGUGAAUACUUUUAUUUUGCUGUUGAUAUAUAUUUUUUGAAACAGAGGCAAAAGAUUUGCCUCAU